UUUGUUCAUAAAAAUAAGUGUUUCCAAUAUUUCCCCAAAAAAAUUUAAACUCAAAAAUAUUUACUUACUUUAAUUAAUAUCCCUUGAAACAACAUCAUUUCCCUUACAGCCAACAUAAAUAAUUAAAAAAGAACAAUGAAAUUCUCUGUAAGCGAAAACGCUCUGAAGACAUUCGCCAGGUCCAUCACUGCCUUGCACUUGUAGGAACGAGCUUGUCGUUCAAUCUUCUUCUUCUAUGGCUUGACUUGAUUUGAAUUUUCUGGUGGAUUUUUAGUUGAUCACACGUAGUGUUUAUUUGAUUAUUCCUUAAUCAUGCUUCGAAAUGCAACGUUUUGAUCUUUAUUAGGGUUAUUGCUUCUUGGCUGUAGAUUUUGGAGAGUAUAAACUGAUUAAUUAGAUUUAUUUAUUUUUUUUCGGAAAAUAAUCUGAGAUAAAGUGAAAGAAAUAAAAAGAAGAAGAAUAUGCUAAUUACUACUUACCGAGCUCUGAUUAGUUGCUGAGAAGUUCAAAGAAAGAAAGAAGAAAUUGAAGUUACAAAUUCUAUAUUGUUCGUUGUUUUUCUUUCUGAAGAGUUAAAACUUAGAUGGAAUUGGUAUUGAUGUCUUUCUGCGCUUUUCUUGAUGAGGUGUUAUACACAUAGCACAUAUAGACAUGAUCUUAAAAUUUACAGCUUUGAUGAGGGCGGUGUACAGGUAAUGUUUUAGUGAUGCAGAUAAGAUUAUAGAAUUAAUCUUUGAGGCCUACAUGUUAAUGUAUGAUUUGCUGCAUAAUUAUGGCCUUUGGCGUUGUCUCUGACAUCUUUAGUAAGUUGCAUCAUAAAGAAGGUAUUUGUUGGCAGAUGCCAGCAGCUGCAUUUGCCAAAGGCCUCCUUGACCUUGGAGGAUAGUUGACGCCAAUCCUGGUUCGUACUCUACUUGUCUGAUAAAUCUGUAUGGUUCUGUUUGCCAAAUACAUGCAUCAUAUUACUGAGCAGUAUAUUUUUAUGAAUGUAUGCAUAUGUUUAAACAUGAAUAAUAGACCAACGUUUUGUGCAUUGUACACGAUUGACCGAUUUUAGAUAUGUUAACCUAUUGAUGUGAAUCUAGUACUACCCCUAAAUUUUAGAUAUGUUAACUGACUGCUAAAAGAUAAGACUCUGGUUUGCAUGUGGUUUUAAUUGUCUUCAUUCAUUGGAUUUUUGAGUUUCCAACUUACCUAAUUUACUAGGUCUCAUCAUGUCUUGUAGAAAAUGUGGGACUAGAAAAUGUGUCAGGUAAUUCCUUUGGUUCCUUCAGGAUUUAUGCCUAGACCAUUUUUUUCCCUAUUGUUUGCUUCUGACAUGAUGAUACCUCUGGGUAUGGCUUAUAAUAGUUCUGUUUUUCUUACCUUGAAGCUUGGACUGGUUAAAUUGUGCACCGAUUGAGUCACUAAAAAGCAAAUGUUUAAUUGUAACAAUGCACUCUUUUACAAGAAGGCAAACAAAACCUAUAUUUUUAUGGUAUUAACAUACAUAGUUACUGCACUUUAUGAGAUUAUUUUGUAACUUACAACUAGCAUUACGGAGGUGAGGCUGGCAUACAGAUUUUUGAAUCACAUUUAACUUUAUGGAAGAUUGGAAUGUGCCAUUUGAGCAGGGUGUAAUUUUACCUCAGGUAAUUAUAUCAUAAAAAUCCUAAAUAAUGGCUUCUGAUUGGAUCUGGUCUGGUCUUCCUCAGGUAGACCUAGAGUACUACUUGAGGAGCGUUUCUUUAAGACCAGAUGUUUUGCUUGAAAAUUCUUGACAUUUAAUGCUCGGUCUUGAACACAGCAGCAAGUUCUCUCAUCAUUGCCAGAUAGUUAUAACAAAUUCUUAGAUUUUGCUUCUCACACAGUUGAGGGGUGGCCUUUUCAAUUUGGCUCCAAUUUUGUUGCAGUGCUGCCAUCAGAGAAUUUCAAUUUUCAAUACAGAACAGGAAUUAGUUAAAUUUGGGAUGCCUUCCUAUUUAUUUUUAUUGCAUUUUGAUCAAGAUGGGAGUAGUGGAUUGAGCCUUGCACUGCAGGAGGACAACACAAAAACUGAGAAGGUGACAGCUGCUGGCAUGUAUUUUCUUGGUUUCCUGGUUCACCAGUUAGAUCAAACAGCCAACUUGUUCUUUUUAGCCAGCUGCUGCAAAGGAUCCGGAUGCUGCCAGCUUUAAAAAACUGGAUAUCCUUCAGCCAUGUGAAAUAACUGAACUGAAGGCAGGCACACAUACAUUUGCUGUUUAUGGUCAGUUCUUCAGUUUCUGUUCAGUGCAUGUGUUGUAUUUUUCAAUACUCAUUUGGGUGAACUUUUUUGUUUCUGUUACAUUUCUUCUAGGUGAUAAUUUUUUUUUUUUAAAAAGUGCUAGCUGCACUAUAGAAUUUCUUUGUGCUGCACCUUUUAAAGAAGAGAAGGAGAAUCUUAGAGCUGUGGAGGCUCAUUCUGACGGAAAGAUAUUUGAGUUGUGCUUAAUUGCUAGUCUGUUGAAAAUCAUUCACAUGCUCCUUCAAGAUAAAAAUCAUGAGUAAUCUGUGUCUCUUUAAUGUUCUAUUGUAGUUUUAUUAUUUUACAAACUAUAGACAAAUAUAUAGCUAAGUAAUUGUUGAUAAUGAAUUUUAAUAUUAAUUGUUGCAGACUUAUCUAACAUACAUAUACUUAUUUUGCUUCUUUUGCCAUGCAA